rnacentral:rRNA from 1 species
AGCAGCCGCGGUAAUUCCAGCUCCAAUAGCGUAUAUUAAAGUUGUUGCAGUUAAAAAGCUCGUAGUUGAAUUUCGGGGUUAGUAGGUUGGUCAUGCCUCUGGUAUGUACUGGUCUCACUGAUUCCUCCUUCCUGAUGAGCCGUAAUGCCAUUAAUUUGGUGUUGCGGGGAAUUUGGACUGUUACUUUGAAAAAUUAGAGUGUUUAAAGCAAGCUAACGCUUGAAUACAUUAGCAUGGAAUAAUGAAAUAGGACGUUCGAUCCUAUUUUGUUGGUUUCUAGGAUUGACGUAAUGAUUAAUAGGGAUAGUUGGGGGCAUUAGUAUUCAAUUGUCAGAGGUGAAAUUCUUGGAUUUAUUGAAGACUAACUACUGCGAAAGCAUUUGUCAAGGAUGUUUUCAUUAAUCAAGAACGAAAGUUAGGGGAUCGAAGACGAUCAGAUACCGUCGUAGUCUUAACCAUAAACUAUGCCGACUAGGGAUCGGAUGAUGUUAAUUUUUAAUGACUCAUUCGGCGCCUUAAC